AGAGUUUGAUCCUGGCUCAGAACGAACGUUUGAUGGCGUGCCUCAUACAUGCAAGUCGAGCGGAGUAGCAAUACUCAGCGGCGGACGGGUGAGUAACACGUAAACAAUCUGCCCUGAAGCGGGGAAUAACUAUCCCAACGGAUAGCUAAUACCGCAUAAUGAUGGAGACGGCAUCGUCUCUUCUCAAAAGGCUUCGGCCACUUCAGGAUGAGUUUGCGUCCCAUUAGCUUGUUGGCGGUGUAAUAGACCACCAAGGCGACGAUGGGUAUCCGGCCUGAGAGGGUGUACGGACACAUUGGGACUGAGAUACGGCCCAGACUCCUACGGGAGGCAGCAGUAGGGAAUUUUGCGCAAUGGAGGAAACUCUGACGCAGCAACGCCAUGUGUGGGAUGAAGCAUUUCGGUGUGUAAACCACUGUCAGCGGGGAAUAAAUGGUCUCUUCGGAGGCAGUUGAAUGUACCCGCAAAGGAAGCCCCGGCUAACUUCGUGCCAGCAGCCGCGGUAAUACGAGGGGGGCAAAUGUUGUUCGGAAUCACUGGGCGUAAAGGGAGCGUAGGCGGGCUCUUAAGUUAGGGUGUUUAAUCCCGGGGCCCAACCCCGGACAGGCACCUAAAACUGGGAGUCUUGAAUAGUGGAGAGGUCGGCGGAAUUGGGGGUGUAGCGGUGGAAUGCGUAAGAUCCCCAAGAACACCAGUUGCGAAGGCGGCCGACUGGACACAUAUUGACGCUGAGGCUCGAAAGCAUGGGGAGCAAACAGGAUUAGAUANCCCUGGUAGUCCAUUGCCAUAAACGAUGAAUUACUAGGUUUUGGGCCCGUCAACGGUCCAAAGCCGGACUAACGCGUUAAGUAUUCCGCCUGGGGAGUACGGUCGCAAGACUGAAACUCAAAGGAAUUGACGGGGGCCCGCACAAGCGGUGGAGCAUGUGGUUUAAUUCGACGCAACGCGAAGAACCUUACCAAGGCUUGACAUGGGAAAGACUGGACGAGAGAUCGUCCUUCUCCAGCAAUGGAGCUUUCCACACAGGUGCUGCAUGGCUGUCGUCAGCUCGUGUCGUGAGAUGUUGGGUUAAGUCCCGCAACGAGCGCAACCCUCGUUUCUAGUUGCCAUCAUUCAGUUGGGCCCUCUAGAGAGACUGCCGCGAAUAACGCGGAGGAAGGUGGGGACGACGUCAAGUCAUCAUGGCCCUUACGUCUUGGGCUACACACGUGCUACAAUGGGCGUUACAAAGGGUCGCAAGAGCGCAAGCUGGAGCCAAUCCCCAAAGGCGCCCUCAGUUCAGAUUGAGGUCUGCAACUCGACCUCAUGAAGGUGGAAUCGCUAGUAAUCGCGGAUCAGAACGCCGCGGUGAAUACGUUCCCGGGCCUUGUACACACCGCCCGUCAAGCCACGAAAGGAGAGAGCGCUCUAAGUCGCUAAGGUAACCCGCAAGGGAGCCCAGCGCCUAAAGCGAGAUCUCUAAUUGGGGCUAAGUCGUAACAAGGUAGCCGUAUCGGAAGGUGCGGCUGGAUCACCUCCUU
rnacentral:rRNA from 1 species